rnacentral:rRNA from 1 species
UACAGAGGUGCCGAGCGUUAGGCGGAAUCACUGGGCUUAAAGCGCGCGUAGGCGGGUGCCUAAGUGUCUUGUGAAAUCCCACGGCUCAACCGUGGAACGGCUGGGCAUACUGGGCACCUUGAGGCACGCAGGGGCGAGCGGAACAAGUGGUGGAGCGGUGAAAUGCGUAGAGAUCCGGAAGAACACCAGUGGCGAAGGCGGCCCGCUGGGCAGUGGCUGACGCUGAGGUGGCGAAAGCGUGGGGAGCAAACAGG